rnacentral:rRNA from 1 species
UACGUAGGUGGCAAGCGUUGUCCGGAAUUAUUGGGCGUAAAGGGCUCGCAGGCGGUCUUCUAAGUCUGAUGUGAAAUCUUGCGGCUUAACCGUAAGCGGUCAUUGGAAACUGGAGGACUUGAGUACAGAAGAGGAGAGUGGAAUUCCACGUGGAGCGGUGAAAUGCGUAGAGAUCCGGAGGAACACCGACGGCGUAGGCAGCGCCCUGGACGACGCCUGACGCUGAGGCACGAAAGCUGGGGGAGCGAACAGG